rnacentral:lncRNA from 1 species
AGAUGGAGUCUCGCCCUGUUGCCUAGGCUGGAGUGCAAUGGCACAAUCUCAGGUCACUGCAAUGUCUGCACCCCCCCCCCCCAAUGGUUCAAGUGAUUUCCGGCUAAUUUCUGUAUUUUCAGUAGAGACGGAAUUUCACCAUGUUGACCAGGCUGGUCUCGAACUCCUGACCUCAAGUGAUCCGCCCACCUUGGCCACCCAAAGUGCUAGGAUUACAGGUGUGAGCCAUUGCUCCUGGCCACCUUUGUCAUUUAAUCUUUACUCUAUUAAAGGUUAGUAAAGAUUAUCUAGUAAAGAGAUACAGGAAAGCCCGAGAGGCUGCCUUUUAGAUGGUCAGAUGGUCAGAAGUUCUGCCCUCAUGUUGGCACUGGCAGCUCUGUGCCUGCACCUCCCUCUUCUGGACACACCAACAUCUCUUCGAAGUCAGGGACUACAUCCAACCCUCUCCCGGCAGCAUCCUUCCAGCGUCUAGAAUGUGGAAGGCACUGCACAUAGAUGCUGUGAGUGCAUUGGUAGAGAAGAGGGAGUGGGAGACGGAAAUUGCUGAGAAAAUGGCAAUGCAGGUUUAUUUCACUCUCCGGAUACUGUCACAAAAAUCUGGUUGUGGGUGGGAUGGGGAAAAAACCAAAGGCCAUGUGAUAGCCCCUCUGGGCUGUGACCUUCAAGGAGGGUGGCCCUGGAGGGAAUAAAGGGCCUUCCUCCCUAUCGUCUCUCAUUCCCGUCUUGGGCCAGAGAAUCCCAGGAGCCAGAUCCAACUAAAAGUCAGAGGCAAGGGAGACAUUGAUGCAGUCCACAUGGGCCAGCCUUGAGGGCGGAUAUGAAAGGCACAGGAAACACUUGGGCUUCCAAGGGAAGGCAGGGAAGUGGUUCUCUUUUCUCAGCAGGUUUCUCUGAUCUGUACCAAGGGGGCUUCAUACAGCUUUGUUGAUCCUCUCCAGCUCAGAUACCAAUGGAUUCUCAAUUCCCCCACCGAAGACAAGCAAAGGCAGGCUCAGAUAGAAAUACGGUAAGAGGCCGGGUGCAGUGGCUCAAGCCUGUAAUCCCAACACUUUGGGAGGCCAAGGUGGGCAGAUCACUUGAGCUCGGGAGUUCAAGACCAGCCUGGCCAAUAUGGUGAAACCCCAUCUCUACUAAAAAUACAAAAAAAUUAGCCGGGUGUGGUGGCGGGCACCUAUAAUCCCAGCUACUUGGGAGGCUGAGGCAGGAGAAUCGCUUGAGGGGUUGCAGUGAGCCAAGAUCACGCCACUGCACUCCAGCCUGGGCAAACAGAGCAAGACUGCAUCUAAAAAGAAAAAAAGAAAAAGAAAGAAAUGUGGUUAGAGGCAGACCUCGGACACAUCCAUCCAUCCCCCACCUUCCUACAACCAAAUCUCAGAAGGGAGAUCAGAAGUCAUGGCCAGGCAUGGUGGCUGUUCCUACAAUCCCAAGGCCUUGGGAGGCCAAGCAAGGCAGGAAGAUCGUUUGAGGCUGAGUGUUAGAGACUAGCCUGGGCAACACAGCAAAACCCCCUCUCUACAAAAAAUAAAGAAAUUAGCCAUGGUGGUGCACACCUGUAGUCCCAGCUUCUUGGGAGGCCAAGGUGGGAGGAUCACUUGAGCCCAGGAGUUGGAGGCUUCAGUGAGCUGUGAUCGUGCCACUGCACUCCAGUCUGGGUGAUAGAGCGAGACCCUCUCUCUAAAUAAAAUAAAAUCAAGCAGGGCUCCAUCUCCAAACUGAUUUGGGUUUGUUGAGGUUAGAGUGCAUGGGAAGGAGAAAAUAGAUUUCUUUUUUGGGAUAAAAGGUUACGACCUACAAGCUACUCAAACACCUGUUCUUUAGAAAACAAUGGGCAGGUGGAAAGUUAGGAAGUCAGUUUCUUUGGGGGGUCUUUUUUUUUUUUUUUAAAAUAAGGAUUUGAUGCUGGAGUCUUCAGAAUCUGAGUUUAUAUUAAAAAUGUGGAAGUGCCAAACCUCAAAGCAAGUCUGUGGAGCCAAAGUGAGUGGGAUGGUAGCAGAGAAGAAAGACGCAGGGGAGGCUGUGAUGCGGCACAGAGCUGGAGGCCCUGUGGGCUCGCUCAUCUCGCAUUCUGCACCGCGCAGGUGGUGUGGGAUCGCAGCGCUUGCGAGCGCCUGUUCAUAGCUUAUUGCCACGGGGGAGGCGCGCGGGCAGCAGCAGCCCAGGCGUUCAAAAGACCUGCAUCGCUGUCAGAGAGCCGGGGAUUGGGUCUCUGUAGAGACACCCCAGAGUCUGGGAAACUCCUUAUUUGCAGGCAGUUUUCAGCUGUCCACUUGCUCCAACACUGCCCCCUUUUAUGGGGCUGCAGUGGGAACCCUUUCUUAGGGUCCUGCUGAGCACCUCUCUUUCUGGGCGGUAUAUAUCCUUCUGUAGCGCAUUCCCUCUCUUGCUAUACGGCUCUCUCUCAUAUAUAUAUAUAUAUAUAUAUAUAUAUAUAUAUAUAUAUAUAUAUAUAUCUCACCGUGUUCAUACAUAUAGAUCUAGAUCUAGUUUAUUCAUUUUGAUUCUUCGAUAGUAUUCCAUUGCAUAGCUAUACUUUUUUUUUUUUUUUUUUUACCUAUUGCUCAAUUAUUAGAAAUUUAGGAUAUUCCCACUUCGGGGCUAACAAUGCAAGCCUGGGCAACACCAUGAGACCCCGUCUCUACAAAAAAUAUCCAGGCAUGGUGGAGCAUGCCUGUAGUCCCAGCUACUCAGGAUGCUGAGGUGGGAGGAUCACUGAGCCCAGGAGGUCAAGACUGCAGUGAGCCGUGAUCACGCCACUGCACUGUAGCCCUGCGCGACAGAACGAGAUCCGUGUCAAAAAACAAAGUAAAGGCAAAAAAACAAGGCAGUGCUCAACACCUAUAGCUGCUUUCCUGCUCCUGCCUAGUAGAUAACCUGCCUUCCUAGCCCCUGCUCUAGGCAGUGACCAAUCUGCUUUUUGUCAC